UCCGGUUUGUCACCGGCAGUCUCACUAGAGUGCCCGUUACCGUAGCAACUAGUGACAAGGGUUGCGCUCGUUGCGGGACUUAACCCAACAUCUCACGACACGAGCUGACGACAGCCAUGCAGCACCUGUGUCCAGGCUCCCUUUCGGGCACACCCACCUCUCAGCGGGCUUCCUGGCAUGUCAAGGGUAGGUAAGGUUCUUCGCGUUGCAUCGAAUUAAACAACACGCUCCACCGCUUGUGCGGGUCCCCGUCAAUUCCUUUGAGUUUCGGUCUUGCGACCGUACUCCCCAGGCGGGGUACUUAAUGCGUUAGCUACGGCACGGAUCCCGUGGAAGGAAACCCACACCUAGUACCCACCGUUUACGGCGUGGACUAC
rnacentral:misc_RNA from 1 species